rnacentral:rRNA from 1 species
CCUACGGGAGACAGCAGUAGGGAAUAUUGCUCAAUGGGGGAAACUCUGAAGCAGCAAUGCCGCGUGGAGGAUGAAGGUUUUCGGAUUGUAAACUCCUUUUGUUAGAGAAGAUAAUGACGGUAUCUAACGAAUAAGCACCGGCUAACUCCGUGCCAGCAGCCGCGGUAAUACGGAGGGUGCAAGCGUUACUCGGAAUCACUGGGCGUAAGGCGCGCGUAGGCGGGAUAGCAAGUCAGAUGUGAAAUCCUAUGGCUUAACCAUAGAACUGCAUUUGAAACUGUUAUACUAGAGUAUGGGAGAGGUAGGUGGAAUGCAUGGUGUAGCGGUAAAAUCCUUAGAGAUCAAAAAGAAUACUCAUUGCGAAGGCAACCUACUAGAACAUAACUGACGCUGAUGCACGAAAGCGUGGGGAGCAAACAGGAUUAGAUACCCGAGUAGUC